GAUGAACGCUAGCUACAGGCUUAACACAUGCAAGUCGAGGGGAAACGAUAUUGGAAGCUUGCUUCUGAUAGGCGUCGACCGGCGCACGGGUGAGUAACGCGUAUCCAACCUGCCCAUCACUUGGGGAUAACCUUGCGAAAGUAAGACUAAUACCCAAUGAAGUCUCUAGAAGACAUCUGAAAGAGAUUAAAGAUUUAUCGGUGAUGGAUGGGGAUGCGUCUGAUUAGCUUGUUGGCGGGGUAACGGCCCACCAAGGCGACGAUCAGUAGGGGUUCUGAGAGGAAGGUCCCCCACAUUGGAACUGAGACACGGUCCAAACUCCUACGGGAGGCAGCAGUGAGGAAUAUUGGUCAAUGGACGAGAGUCUGAGCCAGCCAAGUAGCGUGCAGGAUGACGGCCCUAUGGGUUGUAAACUGCUUUUAUAAGGGAAUAAAGUGAGUCUCGUGAGACUUUUUGCAUGUACCUUAUGAAUAAGGACCGGCUAAUUCCGUGCCAGCG
rnacentral:rRNA from 1 species